GGCCAGGUAGCUCAGUCGGUAGAGCAGAGGACUGAAAAUCCUUGUGUCGCCGGUUCGAUUCCGGCCCAGGCCA
rnacentral:tRNA from 1 species